UACGGAGGGGGCUAGCGUUGUUCGGAAUUACUGGGCGUAAAGCGCACGUAGGCGGCUUUGUAAGUUAGAGGUGAAAGUCCAGGGCUCAACCCUGGGAUGCCGGUGGAUACUGUCGGGCUCGAGUCCGGAAGAGGAGUGUGGAAUUCCUGGUGUAGCGGUGAAAUGCGCAGAUAUCAGGAGGAACACCGGUGGCGAAGGCGGGUCUCUGGGCAGUAACUGACGCUGAGGAGCGAAAGCGUGGGGAGCGAACAGG
rnacentral:rRNA from 1 species